rnacentral:rRNA from 1 species
GCUACACAUGCAGUCGAACGGUAGCACAGAGGAGCUUGCUCCUUGGGUGACGAGUGGCGGACGGGUGAGUAAUGUCUGGGAAACUGCCCGAUGGAGGGGGAUAACUACUGGAAACGGUAGCUAAUACCGCAUAACGUCGCAAGACCAAAGAGGGGGACCUUCGGGCCUCUUGCCAUCGGAUGUGCCCAGAUGGGAUUAGCUAGUAGGUGGGGUAACGGCUCACCUAGGCGACGAUCCCUAGCUGGUCUGAGAGGAUGACCAGCCACACUGGAACUGAGACACGGUCCAGACUCCUACGGGAGGCAGCAGUGGGGAAUAUUGCACAAUGGGCGCAAGCCUGAUGCAGCCAUGCCGCGUGUAUGAAGAAGGCCUUCGGGUUGUAAAGUACUUUCAGCGAGGAGGAAGGCGUUGUGGUUAAUAACCGCAACGAUUGACGUUACUCGCAGAAGAAGCACCGGCUAACUCCGUGCCAGCAGCCGCGGUAAUACGGAGGGUGCAAGCGUUAAUCGGAAUUACUGGGCGUAAAGCGCACGCAGGCGGUCUGUCAAGUCGGAUGUGAAAUCCCCGGGCUCAACCUGGGAACUGCAUCCGAAACUGGCAGGCUAGAGUCUUGUAGAGGGGGGUAGAAUUCCAGGUGUAGCGGUGAAAUGCGUAGAGAUCUGGAGGAAUACCGGUGGCGAAAGGCGGCCCCCUGGACAAAGACUGACGCUCAUGUGCGAAAGCGUGGGGAGCAAACAGGAUUGGAUACCCAGGUAGUCCACGCCGUAACGAUGUCGACUUGGAGGUUGUGCCCUUGAGCGUGCUUCCGGAG